rnacentral:rRNA from 1 species
UGGGGAAUUUUGGACAAUGGGCGAAAGCCUGAUCCAGCAAUGCCGCGUGUGUGAAGAAGGCCUUCGGGUUGUAAAGCACUUUUGUCCGGAAAGAAAUCCUUGGCUCUAAUACAGUCGGGGGGAUGACGGUACCGGAAGAAUAAGCACCGGCUAACUACGUGCCAGCAGCCGCGGUAAUACGUAGGGUGCAAGCGUUAAUCGGAAUUACUGGGCGUAAAGCGUGCGCAGGCGGUUUGCUAAGACCGAUGUGAAAUCCCCGGGCUCAACCUGGGAACUGCAUUGGUGACUGGCAGGCUAGAGUAUGGCAGAGGGGGGUAGAAUUCCACGUGUAGCAGUGAAAUGCGUAGAGAUGUGGAGGAAUACCGAUGGCGAAGGCAGCCCCCUGGGCCAAAUACUGACGCUCAUGCACGAAAGCGUGGGGAGCAAACAGGAUUAGAUACCCUGGUAGUCCACGCCCUAAACGAUGUCAACUAGUUGUUGGGGAUUCAUUUCCUUAGUAACGUAGCUAACGCGUGAAGUUGACCGCCUGGGGAGUACGGUCGCAAGAUU